UACGGAGGGUGCAAACGUUGCUCGGAAUUACUGGGCGUAAAGCGAGCGUAGGCGGCUAUGUAAGUCGGGUGUGAAAGCCCUCGGCUCAACCGAGGAAGUGCAUUCGAAACUGCAUAGCUUGAGUACUGGAGAGGGUAACGGAAUUCCCGGUGUAGAGGUGAAAUUCGUAGAUAUCGGGAGGAACACCAGAGGCGAAGGCGGUUACCUGGACAGAUACUGACGCUGAGGCUCGAAAGCGUGGGGAGCAAAC
rnacentral:rRNA from 1 species